UAAGUGUUUUUUGAUUGGAUAGUAAGCUUUACAUUAACCAAUGAGAAUGAUUGUAACAAACUAAAUAAAUGGCGGUUUAUUAUUUUGUUUAGGAAAAGCAGUUAACCGAAAGCUGUCUGUCUCAUCUGGUCAUGAUAAGUGCAGAUAAACAAGUGUAAUGCUCCCGAAGAAUGUUUGGGCCAAACAAUAUCUAAGAAACAAAAAGUUUAUAAAAAUGCAGAAAGAUAUGGCCAAUUCAUUGAAGGUGACGACAUGCAGGUGUGACUGUAUGCACGACUGUUACUGCUGCCUGGGUAUUAUGUGAGCAAGAAACACGUCUGGAUUAUAAUUUGGACACACAUGUACAGCUGUUUUGUGAAUAUGAUAAAUUAUGUAUGCUAUAUUUGCAUUUUUGAUGGGUUUAUAGAUGUUUAAUGUUCAAUACAUCAGACAAACUCUGAAGUUUUUUUUUUAAAUAGAAUAUUAAUUUAUAAAACAAAAUCCCAUGAACUACAACCAUAUGUUUAUAGCUUUACACUUCAAGAACAACUAUUUUUGUGUAUUAUGAUUAUAUAUUUGUUAAUGAGAUACAAUUUUGAGUUGAAAUAUUAUGAAUUGUUAUGCCAGCGUAAUAUUUGAUUUUGGUCUGUAAAUAAGAAAUUAUUGGAAAUGCCAGAGAUUCGCUUAUGAGUUGGAAUGUUUAAAAUUUUGUCACGCCGGCAUAACAUUUAAAAUUUUUGUCUGUAAAUAGGAAAUGUUUGGACAUUUAUCAGCCAUUCACUUUCUGUAGAAAUGCUAUGAAUCUUGUUACGCUUGUAUAGCAUUUAGGUUUGGGUCUGUGAAUAUGAAUAUUGGAAAUACAAGAGAUUAACUUAUGAGUUGAAAUGUUUGGAUUUUUGUUAAGCUGGCAUAUUAUUUUGAAUUUGGGUCUGUAAAAAGCAAUGAUAGGAAACUUGAGAGCAAUGCACUUUCUGUGGAAAUAUUACUUAUUUUGUUAUGCCGGCUUAACAUUUGAGAUUGGGUCUGUAAAUAAGUAAUUAUUUGAAAUGCAAGCAAUUUACUUUUAAUUUAAAAUGUUUGGAAUUUUGUUACGCUGGCAUAACAUCUUAUGUUUUAGUCUGUAAAUAAGAAAUCAUUCGAAAUGCAAGUGAUUCACUUUGAGUUGAAAUGUUUGGAAUUUUGUCACACUGGCAUAACAUUUACAGAUUUGGUCUGGAAAUAAGAAAUCAUUAGGAAUGCAAGUGAUUCACCUUUGAGUUAAAAUGUAAUGAAUUUUGUUAAGCUGGCGUAAUAUUUUUUGGGUUUUCAAAAAAUUAGCAUGUCGAAAUUAUCGCAAAAAAACCCUGUAAAACACCCCUUUUAAUUGGGAUUCAUGAACAUUCCAUUUUUAAAAUAGACAGAUUUUUAUGAAUUUUGUGAGUUUGUACCGCCAGCGUAACAUUUAAAGUGGAAUGAUUUAUUUGGUGAUGUUAUAAUGAACCUUUGUGAGUUUGUACCGCCAGCGUAACAUUUUCAAAGAAUUAUCUGUCUAUGUGAUUAUGAACCUUGGGGAUUUGUACCGCCGGCGUAACAUUUUAGUUUUAUUUUUCUGUCAAAGUGAUUAUGAAUUUUGUGAGUUUGUACCGCCAGCGUAACAUUUAAAGUGAAAUGAUUUAUUUGGUGAUGCUAUAAUGAACCUUUGUGAGUUUGUACCGCCAGCGUAACAUUUUCAAAGAAUUAUCUGUCUAUG